UACGGGGGGAGCAAGCGUUGUUCGGAUUUACUGGGCGUAAAGGGCGCGUAGGCGGUCAGUGCAAGUCAGUUGUGAAAUCUCCGGGCUUAACUCGGAAAGGUCAACUGAUACUGCUCGACUAGAGUGCGGAAGGGGCAACUGGAAUUCUUGGUGUAGCGGUGAAAUGCGUAGAUAUCGAGAGGAACACCUGCGGCGAAGGCGGGUAGCUGGGCCGACACUGACGCUGAGGCGCGAAAGCCAGGGGAGCGAACGGG
rnacentral:rRNA from 1 species